rfam:Lactobacillus acidipiscis strain DSM 15353 Scaffold35, whole genome shotgun sequence.
CGCAAGGCCUUGGGGCAAUGUUGUCCUUACGAAGCGUGUCAGGUCCGGAAGGAAGCAGCACUAAGUUCGGUUCGGCAUGUGCCUUAAGUUUUUAUGAU